CAGCCAUAUCACAUUGAAACACCGAUUCUUGUUUGAUCACCGAAAUUAAGCAAGCUCGAACCAGGUCAGUACCGAGAUGGGUGACCGGUUGGGAAUACCAGUUGUU